rnacentral:misc_RNA from 1 species
CUUUGGCACAGAUGUUCGUUUGUUUGGCGUGUGUUUAUAGUAUUUUUGACAUAUGGCACAAGAAAAGGAGUUUGUUCGGUGAUGAACCCAUAGAUGGGUAACAAAGUUUGUAUCGUGGCAAAUUCAUAUCCAGAGACAAAAACCAUGAUUUUAAUCCGUCACUGCUGAAGGAAACUCAUAUAUUUCAACCACAAGUCGGUGCUGGAAGAAUUACCACAAUGCUCUCAGUUUUUAAGAGAUUGGCUGGUAAGUCAGAGAAUGGGACACCAAAUUGCCGACCCGGUCACCAAGCUAUGUCACAUAGCUUACAAAGGAAGUUUGCUAAAGGCGUGCAGUAUAAUAUGAAAAUCAUAAUCAAGGGUGACAGAAAUGUUGGCAAAACAUGCCUUUUCAAACGACUUCAAGGCCUUAAAUUUGUUGAGGAAUAUAUCCCUACAGAAGAAAUUCAGGUUGCUUGCAUUCAGUGGAGUUACAAAGCAACAGAUGAUGUUGUGAAAGUAGAAGUUUGGGAUGUUGUAGACAAAGGGAAAAAGAAGACUAGAUUUGAUGGUUUGAAAUUGGAUAAUGCUCAGUUAGAGGUUCCAGAAGAGCCUGCAUUAGAUGCAGAGUUUCUUGAUGUUUACAAAGGAACUAAUGGAGUGAUCAUGUUGAUGGAUAUAACAAAAAGUUGGACUUUUGAUUAUGUUCAGAGGGAGCUGCCUAAAGUGCCAAACCAUAUUCCUGUUCUAGUUUUAGCCAACCAUUGUGAUAUGGCUCAUCAUCGCACAGUCACACCAGAUCAUAUAGCGUACUAUAUUGAAGAAUUUAAAAGGCCUGCUGGUUCAGCUCAAAUACGGUAUGCGGAGUCCUCUAUGAGAAAUGGAUUUGGCCUCAAACUACUACAUAAGUUCCUAAAUCUACCCUUUCUCCAGUUACAACAUGAAACAUUACUGGCCCAGCUUGCCACAAAUGAAGAAGAAACAAAACUAACCAGUCAGGAAUUAGAUUUAUUUCUUGAAAGUGAUGAAGCAGACUACAACAAGUUUUUAGAUAACCUUGUAAACAAGAGACGACAAGUAGCAGAUUCUGCGUCAUCUGUUCCCACUCCUCAGACAACUCAACAGGUAUCACAACAGCCAACAGCCUCUACUGCUGAUACUCCAUCUGUGAAACGUAGUAAUGCUGUUCCUGUUGCUGUUCCUGUUCCUGUUGGAGGUGGCAUUCCUAUACCAGAUCAAACAGCUGGCUAUGUUUAUAAAAUGUUUGGGAAACCUAAAGAAACAACUGAAGAAUCUACUGGUGUGGAGAACAUCCAGCAACCUAGUUCAGAAGAAAAGAUUGAAACUCCCUCCAAAAAUCCCAGCACACCAGAAGUGAUAACAAGUGUUGAUGAGUUUGUGCCUGAUGGAGGACAGAUAGACAAUUCAUUUCUUGAAGACAGUCCUGUCACAUGUGCAUCUCCUGUACACAAGGAGGAAGAUACAGACAGUGAUGUGGACAAUACAAAUCCUCUUGUCACAAGGUUUCAAGAUGAACUUGACCCAGAAGAUGAGGUGACCAACAGCUUUAAUGCAAAAGAUGAUCAUUAUAUAAUUUCCUCCAGUAAAUUAUACAGUGACAAGCAGGACACAAUGGAUAACACAGAAUUUAACAUUAUGUCAGAGAAGUUUGAUUCACUCUUAAACAUUGAGAAGAAGCCACAAAGUAUGCAAGAAAACAAAGAUGAAUUUGGCCUGGGUGCUCAGAACUGGAAGAUCAAUUCUAAUACUUAUUCAAAUAUAAAUUUACAUUUGCUAGGACCUUUACAGACACCUGACAGCUCCACAGCAUCCAGUCCUGUCACUAUGAAGGACCACAGAAGAGAGAAAGUUAAGGGUGAUGAAAAAAAUGUCAAAAAACACAAGAAAAAACUAAACAAAGAUAAAGAACAGAAUGAGGAUAAAAAGAAGAAAAAGAAAUCUAGUAGGAAGCCCCAUCUUCUUGAAAAUAACAGGGAUGAGCUUGAAGAGUUCUUGAAUGGUACUGGUGUAAUACCAGUUGAUGCAGCGUAUGAGGCCAUCUAGCACUUGUCGUCUGUUAUCAGUGAACUACAGAGGAGAAGAUUAAGGUGACAGAAUAGGGGAAAGAAACCAUAAAUGAUUUUUCAGUUUUUUUUACUCAUGUGCAGGGUACUGGUGAACUGCUAUGUGUGUAUAAAGUUUUUAAAGACUUCUGAAAUCCAAACAUGGUGCUUUGGCUUAUGAAGUGGCACAGAAUGAUGCUUUGACUUACAUACUGGCAAGGAAAAUAAUCUGAUGAGGAUCACCUUGCUACAGUGUCCCUGUCGUGGAUUGUUCUCUCUGUGGUAUGGGCCAACACAGCCCCAGAAACUGACUUACAAAGUGCUGAAAACAGUGACAGCAUGCUACUCAGGACAUUAUCAUUUUUCUUUUUUCACCUUUUCCUUUUUCCCAUCCUUCCUGCACCCGUCUCUCCCAACUCAUUGUUUUGUUUACCUCUCCCCUCCCCCAUCAUACAUAUCUUGCUAUUCUUUUUGUGCCCUUCUACAUUCUUGUGCCCCAUCCUCCUCCUCCUCCUCCUCCUCCUCACUACCUUGACCUCCAGUGCCCUCCAUAGUGCCAAGCUGACUAGUGCCUGAGUUGUGGAAGUUGUUUGAUGCUUUCCUGCGGUGUUUGCCGGAUCUUCCCUGCCGUGUUUGCUGGAUACUCCCCUUAACUAUGCCAUUGUAGGCAUCCCACUACACAUUUGUGAGUAGUAUUAUGUGAACACAGCAAAAACAGUGCGUUCCUACACACAUGCAGUUACUGGACUGGCCAUCUGUUGCCUUUGGUGAUUUGUGUCAUUGCUUAUGAGAUUGCUACUGCUUGCCUUCCAAAUGGUUGCAUUUGCACUUAUCUGCUCACCCCAAUGGCAGAUAGUGCUCAGCAGUGUUGUGUCUCCUAUUUGACAUGGUCUAGCUAUACUAGCACUAAUUAAAGUUGUGCUGUGUUUGAGUGCUGAAGUGGGAACUGUGCAAAGGCUAGCACUGUGCAUGGCCCUGCCCCACACUCCCUGGAUCUCCAGUCACUUCUGCAUCUACCAGAAGUUGCCGUACUAAUAAUUAGCAGAUGAACUGUAUAUAAUUUUGUGUCAAAUAUAUAAAUGUUGAGUAUGUAGUGUGGUACCAUGUACAAUGUGUAUUUGAGUGAAAGAGUCAAUUACAUACAAAUUGUUGUUGUAUGUUCAUCAGUUUCAUUUGUUUAUAAUUUUUUAUACUGCUUACAUUUAGUCAAUAUCAUAUGUAAAUUUCAUAAUGUAGAUUGAAUGAAACAGAAGUGUGCUUCUCAAUAUUCAAUGUAUAACAUAUUUUUGAAAAUAAUGUUACAAUAAAAUUGUGAUUUUUAUGAAUAUUUAGUUAUUUGUAAUGACUACAUGAAGCUAACUGUAUUUAAUUGAUGUAAUAUGUGUUACAAAUUUCUACUGCAAAAUAUGAAUCAAAAUGUGUGUUGUUUUUAGAGACAUUUGACAACUAACUCUUUAUAACAAACACUUUAUCUUUCUUAUUUAUUGGCUAUAUUAGUUUCAAUAGUUUCUAUAUCAUAACAUUCAGAAUUUUACAACUUACUGUUCUGAAAAUGUCAUUCACUAGUUGAAAUGUCUGAAAAUCUCUAUAAGUUUGUAUCCCCAGUUUGAAGUUCAUAUGUCUAAGAAAUGUUUUAUGGUUACAAGUAACUGAAAAUAACAUCAGAAUAAGACAGAAUGAGUUCAGGCUAAACAUGCUGCAAUUGUGGUUGUAGAAACUGCUUUACAAGAAGACAUCAUUUUGUGUUUUAACUAUAUAUGGUGGGCGGCAAGAGUGUUGCAACUUGUCUGUAAUGUUACUUCACGUUUUUUAGUUCAUAUGGGCUUAUGUAAGCCUUUCAGCAUACAUCCAUUGUUUUAAUAAGCUUUAAUCACCCAAAGAUCAUGGCCAUGGUCCAGGCAGUAAAAAUAUCAUCCUUUUGUGAUUUAUGAACAUGAUUUUUGUCAUUGAGGAAAAUCUGAAACUUCAUUGACUCCUUUUAGUUUGCUAUUGUUAUCAUAUAGACAUAAUUUAUGAAUUGGACCUAACAAAGAUUGAAUAUCACAAUAUUAAUGUACAGGAAUAUUCAUAACUAACCUCAGUUGAUUUUUAUGCUAAUGUAAUGUCC